AGUGGGUUAGCUGGGUCAGAUGGUGGAUCCAUUUCUCCAUUUUUAAGGAAUCUCCAUACUGCUUUCCAGAGUGGUUGCACUAAUUUGUAGUCCCACCAACAAU
rnacentral:pre_miRNA from 1 species